rnacentral:rRNA from 1 species
AGAGCGUAUGGUGGAUGCCUUGGCAUUAGGCGCCGAUGAAGGACGUGACAAGCUGCGAUAAGCUGCGGUGAGUGGCAAAUACACUUUGACCCGCAGAUUUCCGAAUGAGGAAACUCACUAUGUUGAAGACAUAGUAUCUUUACACGAAUAAAAUAGUGUAUCGAGGGGAACCCGGAGAACUGAAACAUCUCAUUAUCCGGAGGAAAAGAAAGAAAAUAUUCGAUUUCCUGAGUAGUGGCGAGCGAAAGGGAAGGAGCCCAAACCGUUUGUAGAAAUAUAAACGGGGUUGAGAACUGCGUAACCGACCGAUUUUGAUAGUCGAAGCACUUGGAAAGGUGUGCCAUAGAGAGUGACAGCCUCGUAGGCGAAAUCAAAAUGGUCGCGGCAGAGUUCCAGAGUACCACAGGACACGUGGAAUCCGGUGGGAAUACAAGGAGGACCAUCUCCUAAGGCUAAAUACGACCUAAUGACCUAUAGAGUAUAGUACCGUGAGGGAAAGGUGAAAAGAACCCCGGGAGGGGAGUGAAAUAGAAUCUGAAACCAUAUGCUUACAAGCAGAGAUAGCACGACUUAACGUGUGGUCUCGUACUUUUUGUAGAACGGACCGGCGAGUUACGAUGCGUAGCAAGGUUAAGGUAUUAAGUACCGGAGCCGAAGCGAAAGCGAGUCUGAACAGGGCGUUCAGUUGCGCGUCGUAGACCCGAAACCGAGUGACCUAUCCAUGAACAGGUUGAAGCAGUGGUAAAACACUGUGGAGGACCGAACCCACGCCUGUUAAAAUAGUCGGGGAUGAUUUGUGGAUAGCGGAGAAAUUCUAAUCGAACUCGGAUAUAGCUGGUUCUCCUCGAAAUAGCUUUAGGGCUAGCCUCCGAAUUUAGAUUAUUGAAGGUAGAGCACUGUAUGGGCUAGGGGACUUCACGGUUUACCGAACCUUAACAAACUUCGAAUUUCAAUUAAUUAUGUCGGGGAGUCAGACUGCGUGAGAUAAGUUUCGUAGUCAAAAGGGAAACAGCCCAGACCUACAGCUAAGGUCCCCAAAUUCAGGUUAAGUGGAAAAGGAUGUAUCGUUGCUAAAACAACCAGGAUGUUGGCUUAGAAGCAGCCACUCAUUCAAAGAGUGCGUAAUAGCUCACUGGUCGAGUGACGACGCGCCGAAGAUUAACGGGGCUAAAACCUGAUACCGAAGCUUAGGAAUGAUUUUUAAUCAUUGGUAGAGGAGCAAUGUAUGCGCGCAGAAGCCGUAUCGAAAGGGGCGGUGGAGUGCAUACAAGAGAGAAUGCCGGUAUAAGUAGCGAAAGUGAGGUGAGAAUCCUCACCAUCGAAAGUCUAAGGUUUCCUGGGGAAGGUUCGUCCCCCCAGGGUCAGUCGGGGCCUAAGUCGAGGGCGAAAGCCGUAGAUGAUGGACAGUAGGUUGAUAUUCCUGCACCGCCACUGGACGUUUUUACCGAUGCAAUGACACAGAAGGAUAGUUGAUCCCCGCGGAUGGUAAAGUGGGGUCGGCACACGAGGCCGGAGCGUAGUGAAGUACGCGCUCCGUUAAGGCAGAGUGUGAGGUUAAGCGAAAUUAAGUAGUAGUUUCAAUGAAUCCACGCUGGCGAGAAAAGUUGCUAGGGAGAAAAGUGGCGCCCGUACCGCAAACCGACACAGGUAGACGAUGAGAGAAUCAUAAGAUGAUCGGGAGAACUCUUGUUAAGGAACUCGGCAAAAUGACCCCGUAACUUCGGGAGAAGGGGUGCCACAGCGAUGUGGCCGCAGUGAAUAGUCCCAAGCAACUGUUUAUCAAAAACACAGGUCUCUGCUAAAUCGAAAGAUGAAGUAUAGGGGCUGACGCCUGCCCAGUGCUGGAAGGUUAAGGGGAGCUGUUAGCGCAAGCGAAGCGGUGAACUUAAGCCCCAGUGAACGGCGGCCGUAACUAUAACGGUCCUAAGGUAGCGAAAUUCCUUGUCAGGUAAAUUCUGACCCGCACGAAUGGCGUAAUGAUUUGGGAACUGUCUCAACAAGAGACCCGGCGAAAUUGUAGUAUACGUGAAGAUGCGUAUUAACCUGCGACUGGACGGAAAGACCCCGUAGAGCUUUACUGUAGCUUGGUAUUGAAUUUCGGCAAUGAAUGUACAGGAUAGGUGGGAGACUUGGAAGCCUCGGCGUCAGCUGAGGUGGAGUCACCCUUGGGAUACCACCCUUUUAUUGCUGGGGUUCUAACGGUGUGCCGUUAUCCGGGCACCGGACAUUGCCAGGUGGGCAGUUUGACUGGGGCGGUCGCCUCCCAAAAAGUA